rnacentral:tRNA from 1 species
GGCUCCAUAGUGUAGUAGUUAGCACGUCUGCUUUACAUGCAGAAGGUGCUGGAUUCGCGCCUCAGGUGGAACCA